UUAUGGGGUAGUGCUGGGGACAGGUGGCCGGGCCAAGGUUCCGGGGUUCCUCCAUGCAGGGCGUGGAUGGGCCCUGCUGUCGGCUG
ensembl:misc_RNA